ACCAUUAAUUAAAAUAGAUCGAAAUUUCGUUUCUUUCUUUAUUUUAAUUCACAUUAAUGGGGUUUAAAUUUAUUUAGAAGAAAUAUGCAAAGAGACAAAUAAAUAAAUGCAAUAAAAAUUGGUAAGCAGAACUAGCGUUGUGGGAUGAAUCAAAAUUUGAGUUAAAGUCUCAUGAGACUCUUUGAAAGGCGUUGGUUGAUAUGUACAGGAGGACAGUGGUCAUAGAAGUUGGAAACCGCUAACGCCAACCACCUGCCAAAUCAACUAGUCCUGAAAAUAGAAGGCGCUUGAGCGGGAAACUUAUACUCAUGGCUUGUGUUUUUUUUUUUGAAAAAAAAAAUUGGGAAAUCUGGCCGCAACGAGUAAGAGGGUCUCAAUGGUUAGCGUUGAAGACUUUGGGCGUAGGCCCGGUUGAAGCUUCCAUUGGUGCAGAUCUUGGUGGUAGUAGCAAAUAUUCAAGUGAGAUCCUUGAAGACUGUAGUGGAGAAGGGUUCCACGUGAACAGCAGUUGAAUGUGGGUCAGUCGAUCCUAAGAUAUUGGCUAGUGCCGUUUGUUAAAUAAAAUAGAGGAAUGGAGGUGUAAUGUAUCUGAUAAAUCAAAAGAGAGAGAGGUUAAUAUUCUCGUUGUACCUGGAUACGGAGAUAAAUGGUCACUGUGAGGAUUUAGCACGGAACGCAAAUGAAUUCGGAAACAUCCGGUUUAGCUGGAGAUAGGAAGUUGCAUCCGUAAAGCGCCAAGGUUCCUGUGGUG
rnacentral:ncRNA from 1 species